GUCGGCGUGAGAUUUAGUAGCGAAUGGACGUGCUUUUCAUGGCUCCGUGGCGGCGACAAAAUCAUCAGCAAGAAGAUUGUAAGGUUGAGGCGGCGACUGCUGACGACGUGGUCCAGCAACGCAGUCUUCAUGGGAGCCCCGAAGCGGCCGCACAACCCGGCCGCCAGUGAGAAUACGCAGGUGGUGGCGGCAUUGGUGGAUCAUCAACAUCUAGCGAAAACAGUUCGCUAGCACUUCCGACGAACACUGGGAGAGCUUGCUCAUACGUAUUCGCCGUCUUUGAUGUAUCAGUUGCUCCGAGAGGCACGCAUCUGUAAAAAAAAGAAAAAAAUUGUUUCAAAUGUU